rnacentral:rRNA from 1 species
UACAGAGGGUGCUAGCGUUGUUCGGAAUCAUUGGGCGUAAAGGGCGUGUAGGCGGUUUGUUAAGUCAUGUGUGAAAGCCCCCGGCUCAACCGGGGAACGGCGCAUGAAACUGGCAAGCUAGAGUACCGAAGAGGGGGGUGGAACUGCGAGUGUAGAGGUGAAAUUCGUAGAUAUUCGCAAGAACACCAGUGGCGAAGGCGGCUCACUGGACCGGCAUUGACGCUGAGGUGCGAAAGCGUGGGGAGCAAACAGG